AUGAUUCUUUUUGGGUUUUUUAGUUUACGCAUUCGUUCUAAGAAUCUUGAUAUCUGGCUGUGUUGUUGUAGAUUUGUAAAAAAAAUUCUUGGGAUCCAUCUAUUCAACCAUGUUGGAGUAGGCUAUAUGAUCUUUUUAGUUCUGACCACAUAUGCUUCUUCCUUGGUCUGUUCACCAAUCAUGGACACUGACUUAAAAAAUGAACAAUGCUACCCCUUCAGCUGCAGGUGCAGGUUGACAGUGACAGCAGAUGGAGCUUCUCUGACCGCUACUGAAGACACCGCUGAACAGCUUAACCAGACAAAGACAAAGUGCUAUUAUGUAGGCAUGGUUUAA
rnacentral:rRNA from 1 species